rnacentral:rRNA from 1 species
AUUGAACGCUGGCGGCAUGCCUAACACAUGCAAGUCGAACGAGAUCUUCGGGUCUAGUGGCGCACGGGUGCGUAACGCGUGGGAAUCUGCCCUUUGGUUCGGAAUAACAGUUGGAAACGACUGCUAAUACCGGAUGAUGACGAAAGUCCAAAGAUUUAUCGCCAGAGGAUGAGCCCGCGUAGGAUUAGCUAGUUGGUGUGGUAAAGGCGCACCAAGGCGACGAUCCUUAGCUGGUCUGUGAGGAUGAUCAGCCACACUGGGACUGGGACACGGCCCAGACUCCUACGGGAGGCAGCAGUGGGGAAUAUUGGACAAUGGGCGAAAGCCUGAUCCAGCAAUGCCGCGUGAGUGAUGAAGGCCUUAGGGUUGUAAAGCUCUUUUACCCGGGAUGAUAAUGACAGUACCGGGAGAAUAAGCUCCGGCUAACUCCGUGCCAGCCGCCGCCGUAA